UUAGAGUUUGAUCAUGGCUCAGAACGAACGCUGGCGGCAGGCCUAACACAUGCAAGUCGAGCGCGCCCUUCGGGGUGAGCGGCGGACGGGUUAGUAACGCGUGGGAACGUGCCCAGAUCUAAGGAAUAGCCACUGGAAACGGUGAGUAAUACCUUAUACGCCCUUCGGGGGAAAGAUUUAUCGGAUUUGGAUCGGCCCGCGUUAGAUUAGGUAGUUGGUGGGGUAAUGGCCUACCAAGCCUACGAUCUAUAGCUGGUUUUAGAGGAUGAUCAGCAACACUGGGACUGAGACACGGCCCAGACUCCUACGGGAGGCAGCAGUGGGGAAUCUUGGACAAUGGGGGCAACCCUGAUCCAGCCAUGCCGCGUGAGUGAUGAAGGCCUUAGGGUCGUAAAGCUCUUUCGCCUGUGAUGAUAAUGACAGUAGCAGGUAAAGAAACCCCGGCUAACUCCGUGCCAGCAGCCGCGGUAAUACGGAGGGGGUUAGCGUUGUUCGGAAUUACUGGGCGUAAAGCGCGCGUAGGCGGAUUAGUCAGUUAGAGGUGAAAUCCCAGGGCUCAACCCUGGAACUGCCUUUAAUACUGCUAGUCUUGAGUUCGAGAGAGGUGAGUGGAAUUCCGAGUGUAGAGGUGAAAUUCGUAGAUAUUCGGAGGAACACCAGUGGCGAAGGCGGCUCACUGGCUCGAUACUGACGCUGAGGUGCGAAAGUGUGGGGAGCAAACAGGAUUAGAUACCCUGGUAGUCCACACCGUAAACGAUGAAUGCCAGUCGUCGGCAAGCAUGCUUGUCGGUGACACACCUAACGGAUUAAGCAUUCCGCCUGGG
rnacentral:rRNA from 1 species